GCCCGAGUGGCGGAAUGGCAGACGCGACGGACUUAAAAUCCGUUAGUAGAAAUACUGUACCGGUUCAAGUCCGGUCUCGGGCACCA
rnacentral:tRNA from 1 species